rnacentral:lncRNA from 1 species
CUUAUUUAUGUUUUCCUGUGUUUCUCUAAGGGAGUUCUUCAUGUCUUUCUUGAAGUCCUCCAGCAUCAUGAUCAAAUAUGAUUUUGAAACUAGAUCUUGCUUUUCUGGUGUGUUUGGAUAUUCCGUGUUCGCUUUGGUGGGAGAAUUGGGCUCCGAUGAUGCCUAUACAGUCUUGGUUUCUGUUGCUUGGGUUCCUGCGCUUGCCUCUCACCAUCUGAUUAUCUCUAGUGUUACUUUGUUCUGCUAUUUCUGACAGUGACUAGACUGUCCUAUAAGCCUGUGUGUCAGGAGUGUUGUAGACCUGUUUUCCUGUAUUCUUUCAGCCAGUUAUGGGGACAGAGUGCUCUGCUUUCGGGCGUGUAGUUUUUCCUAUCUACUGGUCUUCAGCUAUUCCUGCGGGCCUGU